rnacentral:rRNA from 1 species
GAAGCAUAUCAAUAAGCGGAGGAAAAGAAACCAACAGGGAUUGCCCUAGUAACGGCGAGCGAAGCGGCAACAGCUCAAAUUUGAAAUCUGGUCUUCUGGGCCCGAGUUGUAAUUUGCAGAGGAUGCUUCUGGCAAGGUGCCUUCCGAGUUCCCUGGAACGGGACGCCAUAGAGGGUGAGAGCCCCGUACGGUUGGACACCGAGCCGUUGUGUAGCUCCUUCAACGAGUCGAGUAGUUUGGGAAUGCUGCUCUAAAUGGGAGGUAUAUCUCUUCUAAAGCUAAAUACCGGCCAGAGACCGAUAGCGCACAAGUAGAGUGAUCGAAAGAUGAAAAGCACUUUGAAAAGAGAGUUAAAUAGCACGUGAAAUUGUUGAAAGGGAAGCGCUUGUGACCAGACUUGUGCCCGGUGAAUUAGCUGGUGUUCUCACCAGUCGACUUUGCCGGCUCAGGCCAGCAUCGGUUUGCUAUUGGGGAGAAAAACGAUGGGAAUGUGGCUCUUUCGGGAGUGUUAUAGCCCGCCGUAUAAUACCCUUUGGCAGACCGAGGACCGCGCAUCUGCAUGGAUGCUGGCGUAAUGGUCACCAGCGACCCGUCUUGAAACACGGACCAAGGAGUCAACCUUAUGUGCAAGUGUUUGGGUGUUAAACCCCUACGCGGAAUUAACGUGAACGUAGGUGAGAGCCUUCGGGCGCAUCAUCGACCGAUUCUGAUGUUCUCGGAUGGAUUUGAGUAAGAGCACACAGGGUUGGACCCGAAAGAAGGUGAACUAUGCUUGUAUAGGGUGAAGCCAGAGGAAACUCUGGUGGAGGCUCGCAGCGGUUCUGACGUGCAAAUCGAUCGUCAAUAUGAGCAUGGGGGCGAAAGACUAAUCGAACCUUCUAGUAGCUGGUUCCAGCCGAAG